UUCCUACGGGUGGCAGCAGUCGAGAAUCUUUCACAAUGGGGGAAACCCUGAUGGAGCGACGCCGCGUGGAGGUUAAGGUCUUCGGAUUGUAAACUCCUGUCAUGCGAGAACAAAGCCCGCAAGGGUGUGAUAGUACCGCAAGAGGAAGAGACGGCUAACUCUGUGCCAGCAGCCGCGGUAAUACAGAGGUCUCAAGCGUUGUUCGGAAUUACUGGGCGUAAAGGGUGCGCAGGCCGCGCGGGCAGUCAAAUGUGUAAUUCAGAGGCUCAACCUCUGGACUGCGCUUGAUACUUCCGCGCUCGAACCUUGGAGAGGGAUCUGGAAUUCUCGGUGUAGCAGUGAAAUGCGUGGAUAUCGAGAAGAACACCUAGGGCGAAAGCAAGAUCCUGGACAAGUGUUGACGCUCAUGCACGAAGGCUAGGGGAGCGAACGGGAUUAGAUACCCGGGUAGUCU
rnacentral:rRNA from 1 species